UACGUAGGGCGCAAGCGUUAUCCGGAAUUAUUGGGCGUAAAGAGCUCGUAGGCGGUUUGUCGCGUCUGCCGUGAAAGUCCGGGGCUCAACUCCGGAUCUGCGGUGGGUACGGGCAGACUAGAGUGAUGUAAGGGAGACUGGAAUUCCUGGUGUAGCGGUGAAAUGCGCAGAUAUCAGGAGGAACACCAAUGGCGAAGGCGGUUCUCUGGGACGGUACUGACGCUGAGACGCGAAAGCGUGGGGAGCGAACAGG
rnacentral:rRNA from 1 species